rnacentral:lncRNA from 1 species
UUAUGCAUCUAACGCUGCCUAAUUUCAUAACAACGUCUGUCUAAUUUAUUAUAAGAAAGGGAUAAUAUUUUACUCUAAUUUAUUUUAACCAAUAUUGUUUUUAUAGAUUAGAUAAGCUCUUUUAGUACCAUUGACACUUUUGGCAUGAACAUAAUGGUACCAUGAAGUUUACCUCUUUUGUUACUAUACAAGCUUCACACUUCCUUGGUGAUGCAAGCUUUCUUUUUAUUUCAAUUUUCUGACAUUCUGUAUUUUAUCUUUACUCUCAGCACAGGUUUCUCAAGCAUUCAGCAGUAUGUGCUGAUUAUGUCCUGUUACUGCAUAUGUUCUAUCAUUACUAAUGCUUAAUAUCAGAGGUUUGGUGACAGUCUGUAACUAAAAUCGAGGAACUUCUUAUGCAAACAAGCCUUUAAAAAAAUAUAGAAAAUGAACAGAUGUAUUGGAUGUAAUCUUCUAGCCAUCUGUCAUAACUAUGUGAACAUAUUUGAAGGUAGUAAUUGUUGAAUCUGUGUUAUUAAUGGUGUUCUUGAAUCAAUUAUUGAUGCAUGUAAACUCUUCUUACUUAGCUUCAUUUUAUAUUUAACUCUAAUGAUUAUUGUCUAUGAUUCAAGACAGUCUUCUUUUCCAAUUAAUUCUGUAUCAAUGGAGAAUUUCUUUAGAGCAAGCAAAUAAAGAAAAAUCAUUUAAGAUUAUACUUUUAUCCAUCGUAAUAAUCACUGCAAGAAGCUCAGGCCAUUUCUUAUUUAAGAGCUAUACUGCCUGCUGCAAGUUUAUGAAUUGUACUGCGUGCUGUUCCCUUUCUUAUUUUAUCCAUUUUCAUAUAAGUAUUCUUGGUGGACUUAUUUUCGGUUCUGAUUCAAAACAGGUAAGCUUAGGCCAACUCUAGGAGCAGAAAGGUUUGCCUUCAAUUCCAAGCAUAAUGAUAUAUUGUUUUUUGAUUCUUAGCUUUAAAUGUGAUGCAAUGCUAAUUUUAUUACUACUGAAUAAUGACCAAAGGCAACUAUAGUCUGAUAACUUCUGAAAUUAUAAUGACAUGAUAAUAACCAAACCGUCAUUGAGACUACAUCGUGUAGCAAAUUAAGUGACAAGCGGACCGUUGCCAUUGUAGGCCCUACCAAGCUUGGAACUGUAUUGGGGGAUAACUCAACCUACAAAACACGGAAAGUGAAGUGCACUAAGGUUGAGAAGGAUUAGUUUGAAAAGCUAUGUCUCUGCUGUUUUCUUAUUUUCGUUGUUGCCGUUUUGGUUCAAUUGUAUUUGUAUUGUGUUAUCAGCCAGUUAUUUUAUUUAUUUGGUUUGUUCUUGGUGAUAUACUAAAAUGUUUUGCUGUUCCCAGUUUACUGAAUUCAAACUUCUCAAAAGUAUUAAUGAAUUAGUUUUUGCCAAUUAAUCAUAUUUAAUACUGGCUACUCUAAUUAUUUGGAUUGUUGCAGUUGGUGUGUUUUCUGUUAAACAAAGUUAGGAGUAAUAAUAGUGUGAGAGAAACCAAUUCAUGUGAUUGUCGGUUUCAUGUUUCUAGCUAUUUUGAUCCUCUGAGUGUUUGUAAAUAGAUUUCACCUUUGUAAUAUUUAUAUAUUGGCU